CUCCCAGUGUUGAUUCUCCUUGAGUAAAGGUGUCAACCAAUCUUUAACAGAGAGAACAUGGAGGAAGAAGAAGGAAAUGAAGAGGCUGAAGACAAAUGUGUUCACUUCUUCAACACCAUGCUUCUCUCCUUUUAAAGAGAGGAGCAUGAAACUAAAAGGCAAUUCAUACAGGCUAAGGGAAGGCAAAGCCUUUCUUCCAGGUUCAAUUCGCGAUGCUGUACCUGCACUAGUUAUUAAGAUCAAACACAGUCUGCAGUUUCAUCUUAAAUCAAUGUUUGUUAAGUGUUGUAUCUCUUUCUGCUCAUUCUUUAAGCUACUUAGUUUGAAUGGUUAACUCAAACAAUGCAUGAUAUAUAUCUAAAUAAAUAUAAUCCAAUGAUGUAUGUGUCUGUUAAAAGAAGUAUGUAAUGUUUGCCCUGUUUUUGCUGCAAGCUGUGAAUAAAAUGGUAAACAGUUUGUUGUCACACAGAAAACUUAAGUGUUUUCCAGUGUCAGCAUUUGCCUUUUGCUCGUUGAAUUUUUCGGAUUUGUGUAAUGAGGCAUGUCCAUUUGUUGUAGAUUUUUCUGCCCAAACACCACACGAGAUGGUGAUAUAACUCGCGGGUGUGAAAAUGUUGCGACUCAUGAAAUCCACAUCCACAUGGCUAAACAACCAAGAGAUAUAUUUUUCACCUGUGCAAUGGUAGAGCAAACAAAAACCACUAAGAGUGACUUCUAGUACUUUAUUCCCUUGACAAAAAUUUCAAGUUCAGUGAGUGUUUGGAACUACAGUGAAACUUCCAAACUUGGAGCUUCACUGUCAAAUGUGAUUCAUACGUUGGCUAUCUAGUAUUUACCAUAUUUCCAAGCACGCGGUCAGAGGUCUAAGGUCUAAGCAAUUUUUUGUUUUGAUCUCAAACAUGACAAUAAUCUCACUUUGUUUUCAGCAAAUGUUCCUUCAACAUGCAUUUAGAGUUCGACAGUACAAUCAACAGAAAACGU
rnacentral:lncRNA from 1 species